rnacentral:rRNA from 1 species
GACGAACGCUGGCGGCGUGCUUAACACAUGCAAGUCGAACGGAAAGGCCCUGCUUUUGUGGGGUGCUCGAGUGGCGAACGGGUGAGUAACACGUGAGUAACCUGCCCUUGACUUUGGGAUAACUUCAGGAAACUGGGGCUAAUACCGGAUAGGAGCUCCUGCUGCAUGGUGGGGGUUGGAAAGUUUCGGCGGUUGGGGAUGGACUCGCGGCUUAUCAGCUUGUUGGUGGGGUAGUGGCUUACCAAGGCUUUGACGGGUAGCCGGCCUGAGAGGGUGACCGGCCACAUUGGGCCUGAGAUACGGCCCAGACUCCUACGGGAGGCAGCAGUGGGGAAUAUUGCACAAUGGGCGGAAGCCUGAUGCAGCAACGCCGCGUGCGGGAUGACGGCCUUCGGGUUGUAACCGCUUUCGCCUGUGACGAAGCGUGAGUGACGGUAAUGGGUAAAGAAGCACCGGCUAACUACGUG